rnacentral:rRNA from 1 species
CCUACGGGCGGCAGCAGUGAGGAAUAUUGGUCAAUGGACGAGAGUCUGAACCAGCCAAGUAGCGUGAAGGAUGACUGCCCUAUGGGUUGUAAACUUCUUUUAUAAAGGAAUAAAACGAGGCACGUGUGCCUUUUUGCAUGUACUUUAUGAAUAAGGAUCGGCUAACUCCGUGCCAGCAGCCGCGGUAAUACGGAGGAUCCGAGCGUUAUCCGGAUUUAUUGGGUUUAAAGGGAGCGUAGAUGGGUCGUUAAGUCAGUUGUGAAAUUUGACGGCUCAACCGUAAAAUUGCAAUUGAUACUGGCAGUCUUGAGUACAGUUGAGGUAGGCGGAAUUCGUGGUGUAGCGGUGAAAUGCUUAGAUAUCACGAAGAACCCCGAUUGCGAAGGCAGCUUACUAAACUGUGACUGACAUUGAUGCUCGAAAGUGUGGGUAUCAAACAGGAUUAGAUACCCGGGUAGUC